CAGCAGUCGCCGCGGUAAUACGAAGGGGGCUAGCGUUGUUCGGAAUUACUGGGCGUAAAGGGCGCGUAGGCGGCCAUUCAAGUUAGAUGUGAAAGCCCUGGGCUCAACCUAGGAAUUGCAUUUGAUACUGUUUGGCUUGAGUUCGGGAGAGGUGAGUGGAAUUCCCAGUGUAGAGGUGAAAUUCGUAGAUAUUGGGAAGAACACCAGUGGCGAAGGCGGCUCACUGGACCGACACUGACGCUGAGGCGCGAAAGCGUGGGGAGCAAACAGGAUUAGAUACCCCAGUAGUCCCUGUCUCUUAUAC
rnacentral:rRNA from 1 species